AUUGAACGCUGGCGGAAUGCUUUACACAUGCAAGUCGAACGGUAGAGGGGGCAACCCCUUGAGAGUGGCGAACGGGUGAGUAAUAUAUCGGAACGUGCCCAGUCGUGGGGGAUAACGUAGUGAAAAUUACGCUAAUACCGCAUACGAUCUAAGGAUGAAAGCGGGGGAUCGCAAGACCUCGCUCGAUUGGAGCGGCCGAUAUCAGAUUAGGUAGUUGGUAGGGGAAGGGCCUACCAAGCCAACGAUCUGUAGCUGGUCUGAGAGGACGACCAGCCACACUGGAACUGAGACACGGUCCAGACUCCUACGGGAGGCAGGAGUGGGGAAUUUUUGACAAGGGGCGAAAGCCUGAUCCAGCCAUUCCGCGUGCAGGAUGAAGGCCCUCGGGUUGUAAACUGCUUUUGUACAGAACGAAAAGGUCUCUAUUAAUACUAGGGGCUCAUGACGGUACUGUAAGAAUAAGCACCGGCUAACUACGUGCCAGCCGCCGCAGUAA
rnacentral:rRNA from 1 species